rnacentral:tRNA from 1 species
GGGCGGAUAGCUCAGCGGUUAGAGCGUCGCCCUUACACGGCGAGGGUCGCUGGUUCGAAUCCUGCUCCGCCUA